rnacentral:rRNA from 1 species
CAGUCGAACGAGUUCUCGUUGAUGAUCGGUGCUUGCACCGAGAUUCAACAUGGAACGAGUGGCGGACGGGUGAGUAACACGUGGGUAACCUGCCCUUAAGUGGGGGAUAACAUUUGGAAACAGAUGCUAAUACCGCAUAGAUCCAAGAACCGCAUGGUUCUUGGCUGAAAGAUGGCGUAAGCUAUCGCUUUUGGAUGGACCCGCGGCGUAUUAGCUAGUUGGUGAGGUGAUGGCUCACCAAGGCGAUGAUACGUAGCCGAACUGAGAGGUUGAUCGGCCACAUUGGGACUGAGACACGGCCCAAACUCCUACGGGAGGCAGCAGUAGGGAAUCUUCCACAAUGGACGCAAGUCUGAUGGAGCAACGCCGCGUGAGUGAAGAAGGCUUUCGGGUCGUAAAACUCUGUUGUUGGAGAAGAAUGGUCGGCAGAGUAACUGUUGUCGGCGUGACGGUAUCCAACCAGAAAGCCACGGCUAACUACGUGCCAGCAGCCGCGGUAAUACGUAGGUGGCAAGCGUUAUCCGGAUUUAUUGGGCGUAAAGCGAGCGCAGGCGGUUUUUUAAGUCUGAUGUGAAAGCCCUCGGCUUAACCGAGGAAGCGCAUCGGAAACUGGGAAACUUGAGUGCAGAAGAGGACAGUGGAACUCCAUGUGUAGCGGUGAAAUGCGUAGAUAUAUGGAAGAACACCAGUGGCGAAGGCGGCUGUCUGGUCUGUAACUGACGCUGAGGCUCGAAAGCAUGGGUAGCGAACAGGAUUAGAUACCCUGGUAGUCCAUGCCGUAAACGAUGAAUGCUAGGUGUUGGAGGGUUUCCGCCCUUCAGUGCCGCAGCUAACGCAUUAAGCAUUCCGCCUGGGGAGUACGACCGCAAGGUUGAAACUCAAAGGAAUUGACGGGGGCCCGCACAAGCGGUGGAGCAUGUGGUUUAAUUCGAAGCAACGCGAAGAACCUUACCAGGUCUUGACAUC